UACGGGGGGAGCAAGCGUUGUUCGGAUUUACUGGGCGUAAAGCGUGCGUAGACGGUUAUGUAAGUCAGAUGUGAAAGCCCCGGGCUUAACCUGGGAAUGGCAUUUGAGACUGCAUAGCUAGGGUGCGGAAGAGGGAAGCGGAAUUUCCGGUGUAGCGGUGAAAUGCGUAGAUAUCGGAAGAAACACCAGUGGCGAAAGCGGCUUCCUGGUCCAGCACCGACGUUCAGGCACGAAAGCGUGGGGAGCAAACAGG
rnacentral:rRNA from 1 species